AAGACUUUACACUUCCUUUGUCUCUCCCAUCCAUGGAGUCAACAAGAAGAGCUUCUCGAUAGAGGAAUCACUGAUGGGUAGCCUCGGAUGCGACGCCCAUGGCGUCUUGAACGACGCAGAGUUCAGCAAACCUAUGCCUUCGAUCGGUUUAUACGUAGCCAUCGCUUCACUAAUCUGCGCGCUAGCCAUGGCCGCCGACCUCCUCCACGGCUUCCGCCACCGAAAAUUCUGGUUCCCCUGUAAGUACUUCUCCCUCAACGCGACUUCUCUCACUUUCAUCGGCGUCGGGAUCAAACUCUCAGUAGAUCUCAACACCUCCAUGCCUAGUCGCCACGACCAGCUAUCCAAGCUCAGCAGCAGCGUCUUCGUCUGCACAGUGAUGGGCAACUCGAUGCCUUCUCUUGGUUCAAUGGACAACAAAGAUCUUUUAAUGAACCUCGUGGCCUUAGCGAUCCUCGUGGUCACAGACGUCGUCAACAUCUGUAUUCAGCUAGGUACGGGAGCCAUCUACGUCUUCAAAGAAGAACACUUCAUGGUCGUCCUCCUCAUGAUACUUAUGCUAGUGAUCUUGAGUUUCUCCGCGACCACGGUCCCUACCACGAAGAGGAUCUUGGAGACCAAAUACAAGAAGAAGUACGAGAUGGCUUUGAAGUGCCCUUUGGCUACAGAGAGAACAACUGUAGCGAAAAAGAUUCAGCAAGAUUUGUCAAAGUUCUGGAUGAUGGCUCACACUAGUAGUCCUCAGUUCGUGAUGGCACGUUCCGUCACGUGCACUGCUUCUGGCUUCUUCUGUCUUCUUAGCGCCGUUACGCUUGGUGAAGCUGUUGUCCGGUCUUACUUGCUGAGACCGGGGACGACGACGACGCUUGAGUUUUGCCGAGGAGAUUCUGAUUAUAAAUGGUCGACCUCUCUGGUUCUCGUUUGUCAGGGGAGUGCUGUAGCUGUAGGGACUGUCGCUCCUGCGAUUCGUUGGUUUACAGCUGUUAAGUUCAGGUGUCCGAUUAGAGGGAGUAGGAGUUAUAGAGACGAGUUUCGAGUAGAGAGUUACUGGACGCAGUGGUUCUCUGAGAAGAAACAACGUCCCUUACCCUUGAGCCGUCUUUCGAUUCUCAAAGAUCGCAGCUGCAGGAAGACAGCGCACGAUGCGAAACGCUGGCUGUUGGAUGUGUGUAUAGGUGUGCAGUAUGUUAUAGUGUUUGCCAGCAAGAUCAUCCGUUACGUCUCUGUCUACUGCGUGAGCAGAAUCUUGAUUUGUCUUCAUUUGGCGUUCAGAGCGACGGGUAGAAGUACAGUCUCUCACGUUGACUCGGAGAUGUCUGGUGGUGGUUCAUGUGUGCAUGAUCAUGAUGAUUUAUAUAGUAAAUUUGCUUUAUCAAAUUUUGGAAGUUCGUCACAAAAUCACUUUAUUUCCUGUUCCGUUUUUUUAUAUUUGACGUUUCAGAUAGUUUUUUUUUAUUUCAAACCUGAUAACGUUAGUUUUAUUGUAAAAUUUAUUAGUUUUAAGUUAUUAAACCAUUUAUAUUUAAUAAUUGUGGUUUUGUAGAUAAAUUAUUUCAAUUUUAUUUAAAAUAAAUAAAUAUUUUGUUAAUUAGUGUAUACAACUAUAAAAUGUCAGCUAAAUAAAAAUGGAGGGAAUAUUAUUUUGUUAAUUGGUUUUGUUGAUUAUGUUUUUUGAAAACUUUAGUGUAUAAUAUCUUUGGUCAUUUAAAGAACUAUUUUGUAUCAAUAAAUUUAACCAAUUUUCAUAUUGUCAAUUUUAGCUUACAAACACACAUACAGAAGUGUCAUUUUUGUAGCCACAUCUUUCUCUGAAAAGUGAAAACAUAUUUUAAAACUCAUAAUAUUUACCUAUAGUCAAACCCAUGAAACGUUUUGUAUCAUAUAUUCACAAAACAUUUAUUAAAUUUAGAAAGAGAAAAAGAAAAAGAAAACAAAAGUCCAGCGAUUGGCGUAUCCACAUUUUCAAAGUUCUGGACUUGCAUCGAAGAAGAUAGAGAAGCUAAUGACUUGCAUCGAAGAAGAUAGAGGAACAUAAUUGACGAAAACCAUGCCUCCAGUCAUCUACCGGGAUUCGAAAUGCUCCAAUAUUUUGCUUGGGAUGACUACUAUCCGAAGCUAUCUGACUUUGGUUUGGCUAAACUUGGCCCGGUGGGUCACAAGUCUCAAAUGAGACGUUUACACGUAUACCAAUAAUAGGUGAUGUUCUUUCACAUGUAAUGUUUUGUAGCAUUUGUUUCAGUAUAUGGUAUUUUGAGUAAUGUCUCUAUUUUCAUUUCCAGAAAUGUUGUAUUACAUGUUAUAGUUUUGAAUUUUGACACUAUGUUUUGAUGGUAUUAUCAUGUGUUUUGUGUUUACUGCUAUAAACUGCGAUGCUAGUGUAUUAGUUUCUUGGUCUAGCGAUAGAAUCAUAAGAGUAACAUUGUGGUUCUGUCGGAACAGAGCAUGUCGGAAGCUAGCUGAACGAACUAUCUUCUUACAACACUCAACACUGUCUGAAAAGGAUCAAGAAUGCAAAAAAGAAAAACGAAAAAGUUCAAGUAAAAACAUUAACUCAUCUAGUAGAAAAAGUUCGAUAAUUUCUCAGAGUUUUUUAGUCUAGCGAUAGAAUCAUAAGAGGUAACAUUGUGGGUUCUGUCGGAACAGAGUAUGUCGGAAGCUAGCUGAGCGAUCUUCUUACAACACUCAACACUGUCCGAAAAGGAUCAAGGAUGCAGUAAACCGACAAAGUUCCAAGUAAAAAAACAUCAACUGACAAAACCACCCCAUGACUGAUCUAGUAGAAAAAGUACGAGACUUUCUCAGAGUUUCAGAAAAUUCAACAAAAUAGGAUCUUUAUAAAAAAACCAUAAUCCCAAAUUUGACCAAAACUCAUAAAAAAAAAACAAGACUUUACACUUCCUUUGUCUCUCCCAUCCAUGGAGUCAACAAGAAGAGCUUCUCGAUAGAGGAAUCACUGAUGGGUAGCCUCGGAUGCGACGCCCAUGGCGUCUUGAACGACGCAGAGUUCAGCAAACCUAUGCCUUCGAUCGGUUUAUACGUAGCCAUCGCUUCACUAAUCUGCGCGCUAGCCAUGGCCGCCGACCUCCUCCACGGCUUCCGCCACCGAAAAUUCUGGUUCCCCUGUAAGUACUUCUCCCUCAACGCGACUUCUCUCACUUUCAUCGGCGUCGGGAUCAAACUCUCAGUAGAUCUCAACACCUCCAUGCCUAGUCGCCACGACCAGCUAUCCAAGCUCAGCAGCAGCGUCUUCGUCUGCACAGUGAUGGGCAACUCGAUGCCUUCACUAGGUAUAAUGGACAACAAAGAUCUUUUAAUG
rnacentral:lncRNA from 1 species